rnacentral:rRNA from 1 species
GAUGAACGCUGGCGGCGUGCCUAAUACAUGCAAGUAGAACGCUGAAGGAGGAGCUUGCUCUUCUGGAUGAGUUGCGAACGGGUGAGUAACGCGUAGGUAACCUGCCUGGUAGCGGGGGAUAACUAUUGGAAACGAUAGCUAAUACCGCAUGACAACAGUUAUUGCAUGAUAACUGUUUAAAAGGGGCAACUGCUCCACUACCAGUUGGACCUGCGUUGUAUUAGCUAGUUGGUGAGGUAACGGCUCACCAAGGCGACGAUACAUAGCCGACCUGAGAGGGGGAUCGGCCACACUGGGACUGAGACACGGCCCAGACGCCUACGGGAGGCAGCAGGAGGGAAUCUUCGGCAAUGGACGGAAGUCUGACCGAGCAACGCCGCGUGAGUGAAGAAGGUUUUCGGAUCGUAAAGCUCUGUUGUAAGAGAAGAAAGAGUGUGAGAGUGGAAAGUUCACACUGUGACGGUAUCUAACCAGAAAGGGACGGCUAACUACGUG